ACUCCUACGGGAGGCAGCAGUGGGGAAUAUUGCACAAUGGGCGCAAGCCUGAUGCAGCCAUGCCGCGUGUGUGAAGAAGGCCUUCGGGUUGUAAAGCACUUUCAGUUGUGAGGAAGGUGGUGUCGUUAAUAGCGGCAUCAUUUGACGUUAGCAACAGAAGAAGCACCGGCUAACUCCGUGCCAGCAGCCGCGGUAAUACGGAGGGUGCGAGCGUUAAUCGGAUUACUGGGCGUAAAGCGCAUGCAGGUGGUUUGUUAAGUCAGAUGUGAAAGCCCGGGGCGUCAACCUCGGAACUGCAUUUGAAACUGGCAGACUAGAGUACUGUAGAGGGGGGUAGAAUUUCAGGUGUAGCGGUGAAAUGCGUAGAGAUCUGAAGGAAUACCGGUGGCGAAGGCGACCCCCUGGACAGAUACUGACACUCAGAUGCGAAAGCU
rnacentral:rRNA from 1 species